rnacentral:rRNA from 1 species
UGGGGCAUAUUGCACAAUGGGGGAAACCCUGAUGCAGCGACGCCGCGUGAACGAAGAAGGUAUUCGUAUCGUAAAGUUCUGUCCUAUGGGAAGAUAAUGACAGUACCAUAGAAGAAAGCUCCGGCUAAAUACGUGCCAGCAGCCGCGGUAAUACGUAUGGAGCGAGCGUUGUCCGGAAUUAUUGGGCGUAAAGGGUACGCAGGCGGUUUAAUAAGUCGAAUGUUAAAGAUCGGGGCUCAACCCCGCAAAGCAUUGGAAACUGAUAAACUUGAGUAGUGGAGAGGAAAGUGGAAUUCCUAGUGUAGUAGUGCAAUACGUAGAUAUUAGGAGGAAUACCAGUAGCGAAGGCGACUUUCUGGACACAAACUGACGCUGAGGUACGAAAGCGUGGGGAGCACACAGG